AUUCUUCUCCAGAUGCCUGACAGCUCAGUGGCUUAAUAAUUAACUUUCUGGGGACUGAGACACUGUUUUUAUCCAAGAAAAAUGUGUUCAGCCUGUCCACCAAUGAGCCCUGUUGGCAGCACCAAUUUCCACAAGCAACAAUCUACAGUGAUUAUGACAGAGCAAACUGAGACAUGAAGUUAUCCACAGGCGUUCAUAAAGUAGCUGGCAGAAUUCACCUGGAGCCUGGGAAUCCUGAUGUCCAUUCCUCCAGUUAACCCACAGCACCUCUGGUCACAGUUAUCCUCUUCCUGACUAUUGGAUUAUCCCGGGAGUAUUGAAGCUCUUCUAUGAUAAGAUUGCUUUGUGUGCAGGUUCCCAGUGGUGAAAUAGCUGUACCAGCAGGAGUGUGUAACAGUGCUCUGUGGGCAUGUGGAAGACUGGAGAUUCAGCUACCUGUAGAAGUACACGAUAUUGUCAUAAUUUGAUAAGUUUCCUGGAAUUAAUCUUGCCUCUUGAAUGGAAACCUUUGGAAGUAACUUGUAUGAGACACAUGGAAAAACUUCCACUUCCUUGAAGAAACAGAGAAAAUCAGCACUACCAGGAUCUCACAGGAUGAAACCUCCUCUCACCUCUGGAAUGGAACUGUGUAAACACAAAAUUCACUGUAAGCUCUUGGCUUCUAAAACCUAAAGCAGGAUCAGCAACAUAUUGGUUAAUUUGAGAGUAUUUUGAGAACCUAGGGGACAGCACUGGCACAAGAACCUGUGGAUCAUGACAUUCCUGUGGAAUUCCCUUGGGAAAGUAGCACUUCGAACCAUCAGGUGCUGUCAGCAUGUUUGGUCCCCCACAUUUGCUGCAGUUUCUGGUGCUUUGAGAGGCUUCCUGACCUCUGCUCACUGCAGAUCUUGCACUGAAUCCCUCAUGAAGCUGCUCAUCUCAAAUCCUGCUCUUGGCACUUCUACUAAGGGAAGGGGAGCAAUGGGUAAAAAUCUUUAUUUCCCAACAGGAUUGGGACACAAACAUCUGUGGGACACCCAAGGCACUGCCAUUGUAAUGCUGAUACAAAGACAGAAGGGAAAAGUGAACUCUUUGCAUCUGGUGCAGCUGUCUGUCCAAGUGCAGCCUGACCUAGGUGGUUCUACCCCUGUUAGGACCCAGUCCUGACCUAACUGGGACACAGACCUGCCUGCUGGGCUGAUGAGAGCUGGAGCCCCUCUUCUCUCCCCCUGUUAAAUACACACCUACUCUACAGGAUUUAUCUUGGAUGUAUCAGUAAAAAUCCUCAAGCCACGUUGGCUGUUUAAAAAUAAAUAAAUAAAAAAAUCAAAUAUCCUAUCUAUUAAAAAAAAAGAGCCCAGCAGCAGCAGCAAUCUUGCAGGCAGCACAUUUUAUACAGUGACCCAAAUGCAGGGACUGUCAGUUAAUGCUCUCACACUUGCAAUAAAUCACAGUGUUUUCACUCAAAGGCAAGCAGCGUGUCCCAAAAUCUCAGAAAAAUUUAUAGUUCUCUGAAAAGCAGUAUGAAACUAAGUGUGCUUCAUGACCUCUAAAACCCACUUUUAAUGAAAGCAUUAAAUGUUCAUAAAACUACUGAACAAUGAAAUACUGUACUUAAUCCCAAAGGUUUUUUUUUUAAUAUUGGCAUUGCAAUUAAUGUCUGACACGCUAGUUAUCCAUUAGAAAGAAAUCAUUAGUAAGAGUUCUAUGUUUAACAUAACAUUAAAUACUUUUGUCAAAUUAUAUCAGAAUUAUUGAAUGCUGGGUCCAGAGAGCACUGCAAGACCUCAGAAAUGAAUAAUCAUCACAUGUUAGGAAAAAUCUAGAAUAACCUAGAAAUAUGUGAAGUAUGUGAAAAGUAGCUUUAUAUUUUGUUUUUCUAUUCAGUUCAGCAGUGGCCAGGUAAUGUUGCAAUAUUUGCAAACCAUCAGCCAUUUGCUUUACAUACUUGGUUUGAGAAAAGGAUAAUGACCUGGCUAUGUGAAUUUGUAACAGAUUGGAAUUUAAUAGUAUGACCUUCAAUUACAAAGGCUG